GAAGUAGCGCAAUGGAUAGCGUGUUGAAUUUCUGCUCCAAAGGUCUUGGGUUCGAAUUCCACCUGGAAUA